rnacentral:rRNA from 1 species
GAGUUUGAUCCUGGCUCAGAUUGAACGUUGGCGGCAGGCUUAACACAUGCAAGUCGAGCGGUAACAGCAGGAGCUUGCUCCUGGCUGACGAGCGGCGGACGGGUGAGUAACGCGUAGGAAUCUACCUAGUAGUGGGGGACAACCCGGGGAAACUCGGGCUAAUACCGCAUAAGCUCUUAGGAGGAAAGCGGGGGAUCUUCGGACCUCGCGCUGUUAGAGGAGCCUGCGUCGGAUUAGUUAGUUGGUGAGGUAAAAGCUCACCAAGGCGACGAUCCGUAGCUGGUCUGAGAGGACGACCAGCCACACUGGAACUGAGACACGGUCCAGACUCCUACGGGAGGCAGCAGUGGGGAAUCUUGGGCAAUGGGGGAAACCCUGACCCAGCCAUGCCGCGUGUGUGAAGAAGGCUCUAGGGUUGUAAAGCACUUUCAGUGGUGAAGAAAUGUCGUUGGUUAAUAACCCUCGGCCUUGACGUUAACCACAGAAGAAGCACCGGCUAACUCCGUGCCAGCAGCCGCGGUAAUACGGAGGGUGCGAACGUUAAUCGGAAUUACUGGGCGUAAAGCGUGCGCAGGCGGCUUUUUAAGACAGGUGUGAAAUCCCCGGGCUUAACCUGGGAAUGGCGCUUGUGACUGGAAGGCUAGAGUGCGGCAGAGGGGGAUGGAAUUCCUGGUGUAGCAGUGAAAUGCGUAGAUAUCAGGAGGAACACCAAUGGCGAAGGCAGCCUCCUGGGAUAACACUGACGCUCAUGCACGAAAGCGUGGGGAGCAAACAGGAUUAGAUACCCUGGUAGUCCACGCCCUAAACGAUGUCAACUAGUUGUUGGGAAGGAGAUUUCCUUGGUAACGCAGCUAACGCGUGAAGUUGACCGCCUGGGGAGUACGGCCGCAAGGUUAAAACUCAAAGGAAUUGACGGGGACCCGCACAAGCGGUGGAUGAUGUGGAUUAAUUCGAUGCAACGCGCGAAGAACCUUACCUGGGUUUGACAUCCUGUGAAUCUUUGAGAGAUCAAAGAGUGCCUUCGGGAACUCGGUGACAGGUGCUGCAUGGCUGUCGUCAGCUCGUGUCGUGAGAUGUUGGGUUAAGUCCCGUAACGAGCGCAACCCUUAUCGUUAGUUGCCAGCACGUAAUGGUGGGAACUCUAGCGAGACUGCCCGGGUUAACCGGGAGGAAGGCGGGGAUGACGUCAAGUCCUCAUGGCCCUUAUAUCCAGGGCUACACACGUGCUACAAUGGUAAAUACAGAGGGCAGCAAUACCGCGAGGUGGAGCUAAUCCCAAAAAGCCGGUCUCAGUUCGGAUUGGAGUCUGCAACUCGACUCCAUGAAGUUGGAAUCGCUAGUAAUCGUGGAUCAGCAUGCCACGGUGAAUACGUUCCCGCGCCUUGUACACAC